UACGGGGGGAGCAAGCGUUGUUCGGAUUUACUGGGCGUAAAGGGCGCGUAGGCGGCCUGUGCAAGUCAGUUGUGAAAUCUCCGGGCUUAACUCGGAACGGUCAACUGAUACUGCUCGGCUAGAGUGCGGAAGGGGCAACUGGAAUUCUUGGUGUAGCGGUGAAAUGCGUAGAUAUUCGGAGGAACACCAGUGGCGAAGGCGGCUCACUGGCUCGGUACUGACGCUGAGGUGCGAAAGCGUGGGGAGCAAACAGG
rnacentral:rRNA from 1 species